AGGCAAGAGGUGUCAUUAUGUGUUGGAGCUUGGAACCUAUCUAAUUCCACAUUCUAACAAGGCAAGUGGUUAUUAUACGUUAAUGAAUAAGAUGGACCCAUCACUCGGCCCAUGAUUUAUGCAGCACCGAGGUGAUAGUAUAUGUUUUGUUGUUGUCCAGACACAUGUUCUGCUUGAUAGUGAACUGCAGACAGCUCAUAUUAAGAGCAUAUAAAAGGAGUGGAAGGCUCCUACUGGUCCAGGGCACAUUGGCAUGUUAUUUACGAGGAAAUGGUUGCAAGAUGACAACAACUUAACGUGAGAAAACUGUCAACAAAGUAACUCUUUUUAUGUUGAGUCUAUCUACAGUUGAUAGAAUCGGAACACGAGAAGCAGACAAACUUAUCCAAACAUCAUGUCGCCACCGCACAAGCCAGAUAACCACCUUGCAUUGUAGCUAUCUGAAAUUUUCUCUGUUCGUUGGUUCAUCCAUCUAUUUUAUAAUCCCACUGCUGGAAAAGGUUGGGUUGCGGAGAUGUUGGAAGUGGCUACUUGGCUGAACUGAGUCGAACCAAAUGUUACUUUGCUAUGGAAGUCACAGAUAAAGUAUCUUUAGCCAGCCGCCACGAGGCUUCUUUGUGCUCAGACCAAAAUACAAAUUUUACAAUCCCUUGAUCAUCUUUUUCUUCCAUCACUCUACAAACACUUCGAGACUGAUAAG